GAACCUGGGAGGCGGAGCUUGCAGUGAGCUGAGAUUGCGCCACUGCACUCCAGCCUGGGUGACAGUUCAAGACUCCAUCUCAAAAAAAAAAAAAAAAAAAAGGAAUCUCCAUACUGCUUUCCAUAGUGGUUAUACUAGUUUACAUUCCCACCAGCAUCAUAAAAGUGUUCUCUUUUUACUACAUCCAUGCCUACAUCUAUUAUUUUUUGAUUUUUAAAUUAUGGCCAUUCUUGCAGGAGUAAGGUGGUAUCGCACUGUGGUUUUGAUUUGCAUUUCCCUGAUAACUAGUGAUGCUGAACAUUUUUUCAUAUGUUUGUCGGCCAUUUGUAUAUACUCUUUUGAGAAUUGUCUAUCUAUUCAUGUCCUUAGCCCACUUUUUGAUGGGAUUGUUUGUUUGUUUUUUUUCUUGCUGAUUUGUUUGAGUUCCUUGCAGAUUUGGGAUAUUAGUCCUUUGUCAGAUGCAUAGUUUGUGAAGAUUUUCUGCCACUCUGUGGGUUGUCUAUUUACUCUGCUGAUUAUUUCUUUUGCUGUGCAGAAGCUUUUUAGUUUAAUUAAGUCCCGUCUAUUUAUCUUUGUUUUUGUUGCAUUUGCCUUUGGGCUCUUGGUCAUGAUGUCUUUGCUGAAGCCAGUGUUUAGAAGGGUUUUUCAAAUGUUAUCUUCUAGAAUUUUUAUGGUUUCAAGUCUUAGAUUUAAGUGUUUGAUCCAUCUUGAGCUGAUUUUUAUGUAAGGUGAGAGAUAAGAAUCCAGUUUCAUUCUUCUACAUGUGGCUUGCCAAUUAUCCCAGCCACCAUUUGUUGAAUAAGGUGUCUUUUCCCCACUUUAUGUUUUUGUUUGAGUUGUUAAAGAUCAGUUGGCUGUAAGUAUUUGGAUUUAUUUCUUGGUUUUCUAUUCUGUUCCAUUGGUCUAUGUGCCUGUUUUUAUACAAGUACCAUGCUGUUUUGGUGACUAUGGCCUUAUAAUAUAGUCUGAAGUUAGGUAAUGUGAUGCCUCCAGAUUGGUUCUUUUUGAUUAGCAUUGCUUUGGCUAUGCAGGCUCUUUUUUGGUUCCAUGUGCAUUUUUUUUUUCAGAUGGAUUUUUUUUUUUCUGUCGCCAGGCUGGUGUGCAGUGGCACAAUCUCGGCUCACUGCAACCUCCGCCUCCCAGGUUCAAGUGAUUCUCCUACCUCAGACUCCUGAGUAGCUGGGACUACAGGCACGCGCCACCAUGCC
rnacentral:lncRNA from 10 species